rnacentral:rRNA from 1 species
ACUCCUACGGGAGGCAGCAGUAGGGAAUAUUGGGCAAUGGGCGCAAGCCUGACCCAGCGACGCCGCGUGAGGGAUGAAGGUCUUCGGAUUGUAAACCUCUUUCAGUAGGGAAGAAGCGAAAGUGACGGUACCUAAAGAAGAAGCACCGGCUAACU